rnacentral:rRNA from 1 species
UUGAACGCUGGCGGCAUGCUUUACACAUGCAAGUCGAACGGUAACAGGCCUUCGGGUGCUGACGAGUGGCGAACGGGUGAGUAAUGCAUCGGAACGUGCCCAGAGGUGGGGGAUAACGCAGCGAAAGCUGUGCUAAUACCGCAUGUGAUCUGAGGAUGAAAGCGGGGGACCAAGCAGCAAUGUUUGGCCUCGCGCCUCUGGAGCGGCCGAUGUCAGAUUAGGUAGUUGGUGGGGUAAAGGCCUACCAAGCCGACGAUCUGUAGCUGGUCUGAGAGGACGACCAGCCACACUGGGACUGAGACACGGCCCAGACUCCUACGGGAGGCAGCAGUGGGGAAUUUUGGACAAUGGGCGCAAGCCUGAUCCAGCAAUGCCGCGUGCGGGAAGAAGGCCUUCGGGUUGUAAACCGCUUUUGUACGGAACGAAAAGGCUCUGGCUAAUACCUGGGGCUGAUGACGGUACCGUAAGAAUAAGCACCGGCUAACUACGUG